rnacentral:lncRNA from 1 species
AAAAGGAAAGGCUGAGAGGCAGGGGAAGAGCUGGCUCCCCCUCACUCCAGUGCCUGGUUGGAGGUAAACAGCCUCCCUGGGCCAGGAGGGAAGGAGCAACCUUCAAAGGCAGAAAAGUAUAUAUUAGUGGACUACAUAUAUGCAUGGGGUCCUUGGAGUCCAGAAGAGGGAAUCGGACUUCCUGGAACUCUCCUGGAGUUACAGAUGGUCCUGAGUCACCAUGCAAGUGCUGGGAACUGAAACUGAGUCCUCUCUGAAAGAGCAGAAAGUCCCUUUAACCAUUGAGCCAUCUCUCCAGCCCCACUAUGGUGAGAACUUUUAAAUAAUCAGAAUUCUGCUUGUUUGCUUCAACAGCCAGAACCCUGUGACCACAGAUGAAAAGCAAACAGAUCCCAAGUUAACUAAAGGGAUAGAAAGCAUCAACAGGGACACUUGGUAGUUGGCUGACUCUGGAGUAGUGAGGUAACUGUCAAAGGUAUUAUGUGUGCAUACAUGCAUAUAUGUGUAUAUGGGGGAUGAAAAGGGGGUAAACACUCCUUCCUUGAGUGGGGCCUUCCUACGUUUCACCUGUAUAUGUUUAGUUCAAUGUGUGGAUUGUAUUAGGUGUGUAGUUACACAUUUUUAUGUUUUAAGAAGUGAUACUCUUUCCCCUUGGAUGAAUACUCUACCCAGAAUUUCAAAGUACAAUAGAGGUAGAAGAGAAAUUCACCUUGGAUGCUCC